rnacentral:piRNA from 1 species
CAGGGCUGUAGUCUUCAAAAGGCUUUACUGGG